ACCCCUACCCUCCCGCCAGUCGGCGCCCAGUCCCCGCGGGGCUCUCCGCCCCCCGGUGCACCUAGAAAACCCUAGGCGCCACUGGGGAGCCGCAGCUCCAAAGACGCGCUCCCCCGCCCCAAGAAGUAGCCUGCCCCAGAAAGACAGCAGCGACAGAGUCUCCAACUCAGGGUCUAGUCCAAACCCCUCCGCUACCGGGGCCUCUCCGUGCUGUCGGCGGGGCGCUCGGUGAGAGUUUUCAGGGCCUUUUCCGGCCAGGGCCGGCGUGUGGCUAGGCCUAGACGGCUCCGUGUGGUUGGUGAGAGGGUUCCACCUUGGGAGAUGAGGAGAGGGAAAGCUGGACCCCCGUGGACCUGACCUUUGCUCUCAGCGCACCCGGUACCUGCAGUCACCUAGCUGCUCAAAGCCUAAGGACGGUGCCUGUUCGGCGCCUUCGGGUCAAAAACAUGGGUUUUCCACGUGGUUCCACUCGUGCGUCAGAAAGCCAGGAAUGUAAGAUGGGGGGGCGCCCGCACCGUGACGCCAAGAGCUGGGUGCAGCCUGCCAUCUCAACGCGGACACCCCGCCUCCCGUAACGCUACCGGGGUGGGCACUAGCCACACCCACGCGCAGAGCGCACUGCACCCACGGUGCUCGCCCCUGACCCAGCGCCUCCGCAGGCUCCCCAAAGCGCUGCAUGCCUAGAAGGCUGUCAGGCGGGGUUAGCCAAAGGGAAGCCAUUGAAUUUCGAGCGCUGGGGGUUGGAUUUCAGCCCGCUGGACGCUGGACCACCGAGCGCGUACUCUGAGCGAAACUCAGCAGCCUAAAGAAGUGCGAGUUGUUUUGGAUGCGUCGAGCCACGUGAAUGGGGUCACCAAAAAGGAAUUCUGAGUCGGUGGCUCUGGAAAUGUUAAGAUUGGCAGUCUCCAGACCAAACUGUUUUUUAUGUUGGUCACGAUUCUCUGAAGAGCGACGUGAAGUCCAGGCAACAAGUUGGAUUUUUGUCUCCUCACACAAACUGUUAACCACUGUCACCCGGGGCAAGAAAGGAAGGGAAAUUGUAUACCUUCCCGGGGUUUUUCUUUUUGAGCGUUUUUCCCCCCACGAUUUUAUUCAUAAUUCGGAAAGCUAAUAAAACAUUUUAAAAGAACUAAA